UACGUAGGGGGCAAGCGUUGUCCGGAUUCAUUGGGCGUAAAGAGCGUGUAGGCGGCCAGGUAGGUCGGUUGUGAAAACUGGAGGCUCAACCUCGAGACGUCGGCGGAAACCAUCUGGCUAGAGUCCGGAAGAGGAGAGUGGAAUUCCUGGUGUAGCGGUGAAAUGCGCAGAUAUCAGGAAGAACACCCGUGACGAAGGCGGCUCUCUGGGACGGUACUGACGCUGAGACGCGAAAGCGUGGGGAGCGAACAGG
rnacentral:rRNA from 1 species